GGGGGCUAGCGUUGUUCGGAAUUACUGGGCGUAAAGCGCACGUAGGCGGAUCAGUUAGUCGGGGGUGAAAUCCCGGGGCUCAACCCCGGAACUGCCUUCGAUACUGCUGGUCUGGAGUCCGAGAGAGGUGAGUGGAAUUCCGAGUGUAGAGGUGAAAUUCGUAGAUAUUCGGAGGAACACCAGUGGCGAAGGCGGCUCACUGGCUCGGUACUGACGCUGAGGUGCGAAAGCGUGGGGAGCAAACAGG
rnacentral:rRNA from 1 species